GGAGAUGUCGCCUAGUCCGGUCGAGGGCGCACGAUUGGAAAUCGUGUAGCUCGGAAACGAGCUCGAGAGUUCGAAUCUCUCCAUCUCCGCCA
rnacentral:tRNA from 1 species